AGUGAACGCUGGCGGUAUGCCUAACACAUGCAAGUCGAACGGCAGCACAGUAAGAUCUUGCUCUUACGGGUGGCGAGUGGCGGACGGGUGAGGAAUACAUCGGAAUCUACUUUUUCGUGGGGGAUAACGUAGGGAAACUUACGCUAAUACCGCAUACGACCUACGGGUGAAAGCAGGGGAUCUUCGGACCUUGCGCGAUUGAAUGAGCCGAUGUCGGAUUAGCUAGUUGGCGGGGUAAAGGCCCACCAAGGCGACGAUCCGUAGCUGGUCUGAGAGGAUGAUCAGCCACACUGGAACUGAGACACGGUCCAGACUCCUACGGGAGGCAGCAGUGGGGAAUAUUGGACAAUGGGCGCAAGCCUGAUCCAGCAAUACCGCGUGGGUGAAGAAGGCCUUCGGGUUGUAAAGCCCUUUUGUUGGGAAAGAAAAGCAGCAGGUUAAUACCCCACUGUUCUGACGGUACCCAAAGAAUAAGCACCGGCUAACUUCGUG
rnacentral:rRNA from 1 species